CAUUAGCUAGUUGGUAGGGUAACGGGCGUUACCAAGGCGAUGAUGCAUAGCCGAGUUGAGAGACUGAUCGGCCACAUUGGGACUGAGACACGGCCCAAACUCCUACGGGAGGCAGCAGUAGGGAAUCUUCCACAAUGGACGCAAGUCUGAUGGAGCAACGCCGCGUGAGUGAAGAAGGGUUUCGGCUCGUAAAGCUCUGUUGUUGGUGAAGAAGGACAGGGGUAGUAACUGACCUUUGUUUGACGGUAAUCAAUUAGAAAGUCACGGCUAACUACGUGCCAGCAGCCGCGGUAAU
rnacentral:rRNA from 1 species